UCUCCGUCCGGGGUCAGUCAGUCGCUGCCUGUCGCAGCCGGCGAGUCUCUGCUUCCCCCUUCCUACCCGCUCCGCGGCGGCAGCUCAGGCUCUUCGUGGAGGGGCAGACAGAGAAAGAGAGAGACUGACUUAAUAAAGUUUCCUGAAACAACAACUAUUACCAAAAGGAGCCCAAGGCGGGGGAAACCCCCAUCCUUCCCCGCCCCUCUCCAAAAGCCUGAGGGACCGUCGCAGGUGGAGCGGCGCUGAGGGGAGCCGGGCUCCGGCGGCAGCCGUUGCCCUGGCAAGGGGCGCCUCGGGUCCUGCCCGCUCCGGUUCCGGCUCCUUCGGUGGCGGCGGCAGCGGCUGCGGGGCGGUACCUCCUGUCAACUGCCUGCGCCCGCGCGCCGUCAGCCCGCCCGCCCAGCUCCACAGCGCGGAGGGACGCCGCGAGCCGCCGCCACAGCCGUCGCCUCGGGCCGCGGAGGGACGUGGUGAGCUGCGGCGCUUCCGCGUCAGCGCCAGCGGGGAAUCUCUGGGAGCGCGUCGGGCCCGAACCCCGGUUCCUUCGCGCGGUCCGCCGAGGCUGCGCCAGGUGGGGCCCGAAGCCGCCUCUCACGCCAGGCUGUCCCCGCGGCCGUCCGGCCUGCCUUCCUUCCUUCCGCCCGCCCGUCGGCCCGCCCUAAGAGUUCACUAAGCCGCAAUGAAGAGCUUCUUACAGUGAAAGGAAAGUAGGUCGCGCCCACUGAAAAUGCCUUUAAGGGACAAAUACUGUCAGACUGACCACCAUCAUCACGGAUGCUGUGAACCAGUUUAUAUCCUGGAACCUGGAGAUGCUCCUUUGUUACAGCAACCACUACAGACAUCCAAAUCUGGUAUUCAGCAAAUAAUUGAGUGCUUUCGAUCAGGAACUAAACAACUUAAGCAUAUUUUAUUAAAAGAUGUGGACACUAUUUUUGAAUGUAAAUUAUGCCGCAGUCUCUUCAGAGGAUUACCAAAUUUAAUUACCCAUAAAAAAUUCUACUGCCCACCAAGUCUCCAGAUGGAUGACAACCUUCCUGAUGUAAAUGAUAAACAAAGCCAAGCCAUAAGUGAUCUCCUAGAAGCCAUAUAUCCAAGUGUGGACAAGCGAGAAUACAUUAUUAAGCUAGAACCCAUAGAAACGAAUCAGAAUGCAGUUUUUCAAUAUAUUUCAAGGACUGAUAAUCCUACUGAAGUCACAGAGUCAAGCAGUACUCCUGAACAGCCUGAAGUUCAAAUACAGGAAACUAGCACUGAACAGUCUAAGACGGUUCCAGUUACAGACACAGAGGUGGAAACUGUAGAGCCCCCUCCUGUUGAAAUUGUUGCAGAUGAAGUUGCACCUACAUCUGAUGAACAACUGCAGGAAUCACAGGCUGACUUGGAAACUUCUGACAAUUCUGAUUUUGGUCACCAGUUGAUAUGUUGUCUUUGUAGAAAAGAAUUCAAUUCCAGACGAGGUGUUCGUCGUCACAUUCGAAAAGUACACAAGAAAAAAAUGGAAGAACUAAAAAAGUACAUUGAAACACGAAAGAAUCCAAACCAGUCCUCUAAAGGACGCAGUAAGAAUGUUCUAGUUCCAUUAAGUAGGAGUUGUCCAGUAUGUUGUAAAUCAUUUGCUACAAAAGCGAAUGUAAGGAGGCAUUUUGAUGAAGUUCAUAGAGGACUAAGGAGGGAUUCAAUUACUCCUGAUAUAGCAACAAAGCCUGGGCAACCUUUGUUCCUGGAUUCUGUUUCUCCUAAAAAAUCUUUUAAGGCUCGAAAACAAAAGUCGUCUUCAAAGGCUGAAUACAAUUUAACUGCAUGCAAAUGCCUCCUUUGCAAGAGGAAAUAUAGUUCACAAAUAAUGCUUAAAAGACAUAUGCAAAUUGUCCACAAGAUAACUCUUUCUGGAACAAACUCUAAAAGAGAGAAAGGCCCCAAUAAUACUGCCAACAGUUCAGAAAUAAAAGUUAAAGUUGAACCAGCAGAUUCUGUAGAAUCUUCACCCCCUUCCAUUAUCCAUUCUCCACAGAAUGAAUUAAAGGGAACAAAUCAUUCAAAUGAAAAAAAGAACGCACCGGCAGCACAGAAAAAUAAAGUUAAACAAGACUCUGAAAGCCCUAAAUCAACUAGUCCGUCUGCUGCAGGUGGCCAGCAAAAAACCAGGAAGCCAAAACUUUCAGCUGGCUUUGACUUUAAGCAACUUUACUGUAAACUUUGUAAACGUCAGUUUACUUCCAAACAGAACUUGACUAAACAUAUUGAAUUGCACACAGAUGGGAAUAACAUUUAUGUUAAAUUCUACAAGUGUCCUCUUUGCACUUAUGAAACUCGUCGGAAGCGCGAUGUGAUACGACAUAUAACUGUGGUUCAUAAAAAGUCAUCCCGUUAUCUUGGGAAAAUAACAGCCAGUUUAGAGAUCAGAGCUAUAAAAAAGCCCAUUGAUUUUGUUCUAAAUAAAGUGGCAAAAAGAGGCCCUUCAAGAGACGAAGCAAAACAUAGUGAUUCAAAACACGAUGGCACUUCUAACUCUCCUAGUAAAAAGUAUGAAGUAGCUGAUGUUGGUAUUGAAGUAAAAGUCACAAAAAACUUUUCUCUUCACAGAUGCAAUAAAUGUGGAAAGGCAUUUGCCAAAAAGACUUAUCUUGAACAUCAUAAGAAAACUCAUAAGGCAAAUGCUUCCAAUUCACCUGAAGGAAACAAAACCAAAGGCCGAAGUACAAGAUCUAAGGCUCUUGUCUGAUAACUUCAAGUGAUGUACGAAAAGGUUUGGAGUUCAUUUUUGUGGAAAGACUUUAAAUUGGUGUUAGAACCACUAAACAUCUUCAAAUGUUAACUAGAGCUAAAGAACACAAUGUCUUCAAACCACAGAUUCUACAAGAUGGAAGUAAGACCCACAGUACUUGGAUUACCAGUCACCACCCAGCUUGCCAUGCCAUCUCAUUGCAGGUAUGUCUCUAGACAUGAUCAUUUUAUCCAGUACCUGCAGAGGGAAGGAAACUUGCAGGAUGGUGCGGUUGAUUAGGUCAUCAUCUGUUUAAGCAGCAUUCUAAUAAACAUCUAAGCUUGGAUUUACUCAUCAUUAAGGAAAAUCAGUCUGACAACUCUGAGGUCACUUUGGCUUAAAAUAUCAUUGGAACUUAUGUAUUAAAUGGAUCUUCUAUCAGUUUAAUAACAAAGCCCUGGAAUCCCAUCCCUACGUUACAUUAGUAUAAUUUUAUUGUCAUCGUACACAUUUUUCUGGAACAAGGUUUAGCAAAACAGAUUCCCUUGGUAUUAAUGAGUGCUAAAAAUUUUAAUUUGUUAUGACUGGAAGACCAAGAUGUAAAGUUUAGACUCUCGUUUAUUGCAGUAUUUUAGUUUUGCUCCCACUAAGUUCUUUCAACUUAAAGAGCAAAUUAUUGAAUACAUUGUGAAAACAUUGGUAUUAUCUAAAACAUUUGUUCCAAAAGUAUGGUAAUUUUUUUUCGGAAAACUUUGUGUUCCUAAGUCUGUGGAGAUUACAAAUCAAAUUAGGUUCGUUAGCAGCCCAGAAAGCUUUUUUUUUUUAAAUUCCUGAAGUAGAAAUGCUUAAUAGAGUGAAAUAAGGUAUAACUUCACAGAAGACAGUGGUUUUGAUUAACUGCAUAACGUUUAAGGCAUAAACUGCUCUGAAAUACUGUGAUUUACUCAGAACUUUUGAGGAAGAUAAACUACUUCUGUGGACCAUUCAUUCAUUCUUAAAAUCUUUUGAUGUCCACCACUUUGCUACACAAUAUAAAAUAUAAUUUUGAAUUGGUAGAAAGUUAGAAUGGGUACAUAAGAAUGAACUAAAAUGCCUUUUAUUAAGUUACUUGAUUUUUUUAUUAUAAAGAUAUGCUUAUUGUAUACAAUUUGGGAAAUAUAUAAAUAAAGAUUACCUGCAGCCUCAUCACCUGAAGAUAACCACUUAACAUUUUGGAGUGUUUCUCUCCAUUGUUUUAUACAUGUGUGGUGUGUUGUGUGUGUAUACACAUAAAGUAUACACACAUCCCACCACUACAAAUGGGGAGGAACCUAAUUUUUUUCAUUCUAUUUAGUAUGCCUUUCCAUAUGAAUAGUUAUAUCCCAGCAUUGUUUUAAUAGCAGGUUAGUAUCAACUAUAAGAGAAAGACUAUAAUUGUAUUUUGGGAUAUAGGAUAUUCCCGGUUUCUCCUUAAAUUUUUUUUUCCAUUUUCUUUGCCUGUUGUUUUUUGCUGUUACAGAUACUGCACUGAAUACCCCAUACGAAAUUUUUGCAUGUGUUCAUAAUUACUCCUUAAGGGAAAACUCUAAAAUGAGAAUUUCUGGGUCAAAGAGUAUUAAAAAAUUUAAGGGUUUUGGUACAUUUCCCUAAAUUGCUAAAAACGUGUAUAAUGACACUUCAAUCGGAUGCUGUUUUCCUCUGAUCAACACAGGUUUAUCUCCUGUGUUUACGUGACAGACAACCUGUUGGGCGGAAAUGGCAUCGCGCCGAGUUUGGGUUGGCGGCUCCUUGAUUAGCUGGGAGGCGCCGGCGCGUUCGGCCCGUUUCUAACCGGCGUGUCUUUGUCUCUCUCCCUGGGGACCGCUGCCGCCCGUGCGGGCCGAAGCCUCGGGAAGCCGUCGCCCCGCAGUGCCGCCGCCCUGCGCCCGGCCGCCCCGGGGAGCCGCUGCCCUCCCGCGGGCGCCGUCACCACGCGCCAGGCCGCCGCCAGCUGCC